GAGUUUGAUCAUGGCUCAGGAUGAACGCUAGCGGGAGGCCUAACACAUGCAAGCCGAGCGGUAUUUGUUCUUCGGAACAGAGAGAGCGGCGUACGGGUGCGGAACACGUGUGCAACCUGCCUUUAUCUGGGGGAUAGCCUUUCGAAAGGAAGAUUAAUACCCCAUAAUAUAUUUGAUGGCAUCAUUGAAUAUUGAAAACUCCGGUGGAUAGAGAUGGGCACGCGCAAGAUUAGAUAGUUGGUAGGGUAACGGCCUACCAAGUCAAUGAUCUUUAGGGGGCCUGAGAGGGUGAUCCCCCACACUGGUACUGAGACACGGACCAGACUCCUACGGGAGGCAGCAGUGAGGAAUAUUGGACAAUGGGUGCAAGCCUGAUCCAGCCAUCCCGCGUGAAGGACUAAGGCCCUAUGGGUUGUAAACUUCUUUUAUACUGGGAUAAACCUACUUACGUGUAAGUAGCUGAAGGUACAGUAUGAAUAAGCACCGGCUAACUCCGUGCCAGCAGCCGCGGUAAUACGGAGGGUGCAAGCGUUAUCCGGAUUUAUUGGGUUUAAAGGGUCCGUAGGCGGAUUCGUAAGUCAGUGGUGAAAUCUCAUAGCUUAACUAUGAAACUGCCAUUGAUACUGCGAGUCUUGAGUGAGAUUGAGGUAGCUGGAAUAAGUAGUGUAGCGGUGAAAUGCAUAGAUAUUACUUAGAACACCAAUUGCGAAGGCAGGUUACCAAGUCUUAACUGACGCUGAGGGACGAAAGCGUGGGGAGCGAACAGGAUUAGAUACCCUGGUAGUCCACGCCGUAAACGAUGCUAACUCGUUUUUGGGUCUUCGGAUUCAGAGACUAAGCGAAAGUGAUAAGUUAGCCACCUGGGGAGUACGUUCGCAAGAAUGAAACUCAAAGGAAUUGACGGGGGCCCGCACAAGCGGUGGAGCAUGUGGUUUAAUUCGAUGAUACGCGAGGAACCUUACCAAGACUUAAAUGGGAAAUGACAGAUUUAGAAAUAGAUCCUUCUUCGGACAUUUUUCAAGGUGCUGCAUGGUUGUCGUCAGCUCGUGCCGUGAGGUGUUAGGUUAAGUCCUGCAACGAGCGCAACCCCUGUCACUAGUUGCUAACAUUCAGUUGAGGACUCUAGUGAGACUGCCUACGCAAGUAGAGAGGAAGGUGGGGAUGACGUCAAAUCAUCACGGCCCUUACGUCUUGGGCCACACACGUGCUACAAUGGCCAGUACAGAGGGCAGCUACCAGGUGACUGGAUGCGAAUCUCGAAAGCUGGUCUCAGUUCGGAUUGGAGUCUGCAACUCGACUCUAUGAAGCUGGAAUCGCUAGUAAUCGCGCAUCAGCCAUGGCGCGGUGAAUACGUUCCCGGGCCUUGUACACACCGCCCGUCAAGCCAUGGAAGUCUGGGGUACCUGAAGUCGGUGACCGUAACAGGAGCUGCCUAGGGUAAAACAGGUAACUAGGGCUAAGUCGUAACAAGGUAACCGU
rnacentral:rRNA from 1 species